rnacentral:rRNA from 1 species
AGCGCAGGCGGUUCCUUAAGUCUGAUGUGAAAGCCCACGGCUCAGCCGUGGAAGGUCAUUGGAAACUGGGGAACUUGAGUGCAGAAGAGGAGAGUGGAAUUCCAUGUGUAGCGGUGAAAUGCGUAGAUAUAUGGAGGAACACCAGUGGCGAAGGCGACUCUCUGGUCUGUAACUGACGCUGAGGCUCGAAAGCGUGGGGAGCAAACA